UUAGGAAUCUUCCACAAUGGGCGAAAGCCUGAUGGAGCGACGCCGCUUGAGGGAUGACGGUUUUCGGAUUGUAAACCUCUGAACGAGUGACGAAAGAUAACCAAAAUGACGGUAACUCGGUAAUAGCACCGGCUAACUCCGUGCCAGCAGCCGCGGUAAUACGGAGGGUGCAAGCGUUACCCGGAAUCACUGGGCGUAAAGGGCGUGUAGGCGGGAUGUUAAGUCUGACUUUAAAGACUGUGGCUCAACCACAGGAGUGGGCUGGAUACUGGCAUUCUAGACAACUGGAGAGGCGAUUGGAAUUACUGGUGUAGCGGUGGAAUGCGUAGAUACCAGUAGGAACGUCAAUGGCGAAGGCAGGUCGCUGGACAGUUUGUGACGCUGAGGCGCGAAAGUGUGGGGAGCAAACC
rnacentral:rRNA from 1 species